rnacentral:rRNA from 1 species
GAUGAACGCUAGCUACAGGCUUAACACAUGCAAGUCGAGGGGAAACGACAUUGAAGCUUGCUUCGAUGGUCGUCGACCGGCGCACGGGUGAGUAACGCGUAUCCAACCUGCCUCUGACCAAGGGAUAACCCGUCGAAAGUCGGCCUAAUACCUUAUGCAGUCGUCGGAAGUCAUCUGAUGACGACGAAAGAUUUCAUCGGUGAGAGAUGGAGAUGCGUCUGAUUAGCUUGUUGGCGGGGUAACGGCCCACCAAGGCAACGAUCAGUAGGGGUUCUGAGAGGAAGGUCCCCCACAUUGGAACUGAGACACGGACCAAACUCCUACGGGAGGCAGCAGUGAGGAAUAUGAGUCAAUGGGCGGGAGCCUGAACCAGCCAAGUAGCGUGCAGGAUGACGGCCCUAUGGGUUGUAAACUGCUUUUAUGCGGGGAUAAAGUGAGGGACGUGUCCUUCACUGCAGGUACCGCAUGAAUAAGGACCGGCUAAUUCCGUG